GGAAUCUUCCACAAUGGACGAAAGUCCGAUGGAGCAACGCCGCGUGAGUGAAGAAGGGUUUCGGCUCGUAAAACUCUGUUGUUAAAGAAGAACAUAUCUGAGAGUAACUGUUCAGGUAUUGACGGUAUUUAACCAGAAAGCCACGGCUAACUACGUGCCAG
rnacentral:rRNA from 1 species